rnacentral:rRNA from 1 species
CAGUCGCCGCGGGAAUACGAAGGGUGCAAGCGUUACUCGGAAUUACUGGGCGUAAAGCGUGUGUAGGUGGUUGUUUAAGUCUGUCGUGAAAGCCCUGGGCUCAACCUGGGAAUUGCGAUGGAUACUGGGCGACUAGAGUGCGGUAGAGGAUAGUGGAAUUUCCGGUAUAGCAGUGAAAUGCGUAGAGAUCGGAAGGAACAUCUGUGGCGAAGGCGACUAUCUGGGCCAACACUGACACUGAGACACGAAAGCGUGGGGAGCAAACAGGAUUAGAUACCCCCGUAGUCCCUGUCUCUUAUAC